AACGCGAAGAACCUUACCUGGGCUUGAACUGCAGAUGCCCAUCGGCGAACCGAGACUUCCCGCAAGGACAUCUAUACAGGUGCUGCACGGCGGUCUUCACCUCGUGUCGUGAGAGGUUGGGUGAAGUCUCGCAACGAGCGCACCCCUCUUCCUCUGUUGCCACCACGUUAAGUUGGGCACUCUAGAGAGACUGCCGGUGACAAACCGGAGGAAGGUGGGGAUGACGUCAAGUCAUCAUGGCCUUUAUGUCCAGGGCUACACACGUGCUACAAUGGCCGGUACAAAGGGUUGCCAACCCGCGAGGGGGAGCUAAUCCCAAAAACCCGGUCUCAGUUCGGGAUUGCAGUCUGCAACUCGCCUCCAUGAAGUCGGAAUCGCUAGUAAUCGGGGAUCAGCAUGCCGCGGUGAAUACGUUCCCGGGCCUUGUACACACCG
rnacentral:rRNA from 1 species